GACGAACGCUGGCGGCGUGCCUAAUACAUGCAAGUAGAACGCUGAAGAAGGAGCUUGCUUCUCUGGAUGAGUUGCGAACGGGUGAGUAACGCGUAGGUAACCUGCCUGGUAGCGGGGGAUAACUAUUGGAAACGAUAGCUAAUACCGCAUAACAGUAGAUGUUGCAUGACAUUUGCUUAAAAGGUGCAAUUGCAUCACUACCAGAUGGACCUGCGUUGUAUUAGCUAGUUGGUGGGGUAACGGCUCACCAAGGCGACGAUACAUAGCCGACCUGAGAGGGUGAUCGGCCACACUGGGACUGAGACACGGCCCAGACUCCUACGGGAGGCAGCAGUAGGGAAUCUUCGGCAAUGGACGGAAGUCUGACCGAGCAACGCCGCGUGAGUGAAGAAGGUUUUCGGAUCGUAAAGCUCUGUUGUAAGAGAAGAACGAGUGUGAGAGUGGAAAGUUCACACUGUGACGGUAUCUACCA
rnacentral:rRNA from 1 species